rfam:Pneumocystis murina mitochondrion, complete genome.
UGGGUUGUAGACUAAAAGGUAAGUCACAGAAAUUUGAGUUCUGUUUUUAAAAGUUCGAAUCUUUUCGACCCAG